GGCCGUGAUUAAACGAUAUUUUACGAGUUUUUUGUUUAGUUUAGGUAACCAAUACAUUGUAGGGACCUUCAAAUGUUCAGAGGAUGCCUUAAGCGGAGCUGUGAUAGUGACAUGAUUAUUUACUAUAUGACUCUCUUUGGUGCUUAUGGUCUUGAUGCUACAUAAACAAAACUUCAUUAUAAUGAGAUAUUAUCCGAAUCUUAAGUUUG
rnacentral:lncRNA from 1 species